ACAAAAAUCAAUCCCAAAUCCUAUGCCCCAGAAGUAAUAAUAUAAACAUCUAUAUAUAUAGAUAUUUUUAUAGCAGACAUCUUUCUAUGUACAGAAUUAUAAUAAUAAUAACAAUAGAAACAUGUAUAGUACUUAUUAUAUACAGAUACUGUAAUAGUCUAUUCUCGGAUUGCUAUAAAGAAAUAACUGAGCCUGGGUAAUUUACAAAGAAAAGAAGUUAAAUUGGCUCAUGGUUCUGCAAGCUGUACAGGAAGCAUAGCAACUUCUGCUUUUAGAGAGGGCUUAGGAAACUUACAAUCAUGGACUAAGGCAAAGGGGGAAUGAGGUGUUUCACAUGGUGAGAGCAGAAAUAAGAGAGACAGAGGCGAGGUGAAACACACUUUGAAACCAUCAGACCUUGCAAGAACUCACUCAUUCACUUAUUACCACAAGAAUAGCACCAAGAGGAUGAUACUAAAUCAUUCAGGAGAAACUGCCCCAACAAUCCAAUCACCUCCCACCAGGCCUUACCCCCAACACUGGGGAUAACAACUGAAUAUGAGAUUUGGGUGGAGACACAGAUCCAAACCAUAUCAGAUACUGAUAGAAUUACAUACAUAUAUAGAUAGAAUGGAUGCUUAGAAAGCUAAAUGAUGGAUAGAUAAAAAUAUAACCCUGAAUGUAUUUCUAUUAUAAGACCCACAAGAACUUUUUCUUUGCAUUUAAUGAUUACAAACAUAUCCCCCACAGGAUUCUGCACUCAGUGAGAGUGGGAACCCUGUUCCAUGCGUCAGGCUGGUUUCUGGCAUCAAUUCCAAGCUUAUAGGAUGUUUAUUGAAUGAUCACAGAUACUGCUGCUACUUCUACUGCCUAUCAUCAUAGUUGAAAGAGAUUUAAAAUUUCCAUUAGAGUUCCUCCCCUGCCAUGGAAACAGACUCCUUUGACAGAGAACUGUGCUGAAGUCUUCCACUAGAAGAACGUGCAAAAAUGGGCUGAAAUUUCAUGAUGUCCAGUUCUUCUUGACUAUGUUCCUAACAGGAGGCCUGCAAAUGUCUGUUUCCGGGAGAAAAAGUCGUCCCUGCUAUUUCUCCAGCCUUCCCUUGUUCCUGGUCCGGCCCUGCCCCCUUAACAUUCAGGAAUGAGAGUGGAAGCGGAAGGCCCAGGUCCCGGGGGGUCCCGACGCCCAGAAUCCACAGCCAGUGAGGGUUCCUUGGGGCGAGAGGGGGUCGAGGUCACUGGCACGGCACCGUGACAUCACCAACAGCCUGCAGUUCUCGUUAAAGAGAUUUCGCCAGGCCCUUGGACUAACGCCAGGAUUCUCCUGCUCCCGCCGUCAGCGCUCUAGGAUUAGAUAAAGCCCCACAGGAAAGGCGCUCUGCAGACCCUCAGCAGCUAUGAGAGGAACGCCGAUUAGCCGGCGGCCUCUAGCUCUCCCACAAGGCCGAGCGCGGCCAAAGGGCAGCUCCGCCCCUGCCGUCUCCCGCAGCUAUAUUGGCUAAUGUGCCUGCCACUCAGCCGCGCGCCCAACCCCGGCCACGGGCCUGGAGGCGGGAUCCCAACUCUCCUCAGCUGGGCUCGCCUCGCCUUGCUACUCCUUGUUAGCUGUGUUUGGCAUCGUAGUUCCAACGCCUGCCGCGGUUUCGCGACCCACGGCGGAACUGCAUAAACAUUUUCUAGUUGGAAUCUCACUCUGCGAGGUGGCCAAGAUAGUGAUAUUCCUGUUUAACGCCGACAGAAAUAAGAGAGAGAUUGAGUGACUCUCAGAACCAUGUGGCCGGAUUUUAAAGGGGUAUCUUAACAGUGGCUCCAGACCCCAGAUGGACCCGUGUUUUCUGCUCUUAGCAUUAACUAUGUCGUUAAACCCUUCUGAAUUUAUUUCGUCUGUGAACUGGGGACAAGAUAGCCUUCUUGCAGAACUGGUGAAAAAUUUAAAAAUUAACAGGAAUCUAGUAUGAGGACUGGCCCGUGGUCUGCUCUUAAUGGUGUGUGUGGGACUAUGAGCAUUCCCACGUCUUCUGACCUCUAGUCUGGGACUCUUUCUGAUAAACGAGGGAUUCUCAGAGGUCCAGACACUUCGGGAGAUCCAGGGGCAUCUUCAAGGGGUUCCCUGAGUUUUAAACUGCAGAGAAACACUCUUAAGAGAUAUGAUAAAUAUUUCCACCAC